rnacentral:rRNA from 1 species
GCAUAUCAAUAAGCGGAGGAAAAGAAACCAACAGGGAUUGCCCUAGUAACGGCGAGUGAAGCGGCAACAGCUCAAAUUUGAAAUCUGGCGUCUUUGGCGUCCGAGUUGUAAUUUGCAGAGGGCGCUUUGGCAUUGGCAGCGGUCCAAGUUCCUUGGAACAGGACGUCACAGAGGGUGAGAAUCCCGUACGUGGUCGCUAGCCUUUACCGUGUAAAGCCCCUUCGACGAGUCGAGUUGUUUGGGAAUGCAGCUCUAAAUGGGAGGUAAAUUUCUUCUAAAGCUAAAUACUGGCCAGAGACCGAUAGCGCACAAGUAGAGUGAUCGAAAGAUGAAAAGCACUUUGGAAAGAGAGUUAAAAAGCACGUGAAAUUGUUGAAAGGGAAGCGCUUGCAGCCAGACUUGCCUGUAGUUGCUCAUCCGGGUUUUUACCCGGUGCACUCUUCUACGGGCAGGCCAGCAUCAGUUUGGGCGGUUGGAUAAAGGUCUCUGUCAUGUACCUCCUCUCGGGGAGAUCUUAUAGGGGAGACGACAUGCAACCAGCCUGGACUGAGGUCCGCGCAUCUGCUAGGAUGCUGGCGUAAUGGCUGUAAGCGGCCCGUCUUGAAACACGGACCAAGGAGUCUAACAUCUAUGCGAGUGUUUGGGUGUCAAGCCCGAACGCGUAAUGAAAGUGAACGGAGGUGGGAACCUUUCGGGGUGCACCAUCGACCGAUCCUGAUGUCUUCGGAUGGAUUUGAGUAAGAGCAUAGCUGUUGGGACCCGAAAGAUGGUGAACUAUGCUUGAAUAGGGUGAAGCCAGAGGAAACUCUGGUGGAGGCUCGCAGCGGUUCUGACGUGCAAAUCGAUCGUCAAAUUUGGGCAUAGGGGCGAAAGACUAAUCGAACUAUCUAGUAGCUGGUUUCCUGCGAGC